rfam:Acyrthosiphon pisum strain LSR1 Contig15558, whole genome shotgun sequence.
CAAAUGGUCAAAUCGGAUGUGACGUGUUGAUAUUUAUAUUCAUAUCACAGCCGUUUUUGACAAUUUUGG